rnacentral:lncRNA from 10 species
CCUGCACAAGCUCUUUUGCCUACCACCAUGUAAGAUGUGACUUUGCUUCUCCUUUGCCUUCUGCCAUGACUGUGAGGCCUCCCCAGCCAUGUGAAACUGUGUUUCCAAGGGAAAGCAUGUGGCAUUUCACCUGAGUUAUGUAUUGUUUCAAACAUCCAGUGGAGGGUUUCUGGUAUCUCUCUUGAACUCUGGUGUUUUUACAAGAGGCACACAAAAGAGAGACACAGAGAGAAGAUGAGAAGACUGAGGCAGACAUUGGAAUGACGCAACCAGGAGCCAAGGAAUGCCUGGAUCCAUGGGAAGCAGAAGAGGCUUUCUCACCAUGUGAUGCAUUCUGCUAUGUUAUGAUACAGCAAGAAGGGCCUCACAAGAUGUGACCUCUUGUUCUUGGACUUCUCAGCCUCCAGAAUCAUGAGAAAAAAAGGCUCAGCACUGUGAAGACUGAUUGCCACCUCCCCCUUCCCCAGCAAUCUCGUGGAGAUCUGGUCAGAGAAGCUGUUCCAUCUCCCACAAACCUCGUGGCUCAGAAGCAGAGGUGGAGGCUGCAGACCUCAUGUCAGGACUGGGUCGACUAAAAUAAAAACAGUCCCCCUAGUCUGGAUGCCCUGUGUACCUUGCAACUGAGAAAAUGUGAAUGAAACCAUGAAAUACUAUGCAGCCAUAAAAAGGAAUGAAAUUAUGUCUUUUGUAGGAACAUGAAUGGAGCUAGAAGCCAUUAUUCUCAGCAAACUAACACAGGAACAGAAAACCAAACACCACAUGUUCUCACUUAUAAGUGGGAGCUGAAGAAUGAGAACCCAUGGACACAGGGAGGGGAAAAACACACAGGGGCCUAUCAGGGGGUGUGGUGGGGGGAAGGAGAGCAUUGGAAAAAUAGCUAAUGCAUGCUUGGCUUAAGUUCUACGUGAUAGGUUGAUAGGUGCAGCAAACCACCAUGGCACACGUUUACCUAUGUAACAAACUUGCACAUCCUGCACAUGUACCCCAGAACUUAAAAAUAAAAAUGAAAAUAAAAAAUAUUAGAUUUGAAAGGGUUUCAUCAUCUAACAAGAGCUCUUUGAAUCUUACAGAUAAACUCCUUUUCCUGACAUCUGCCAGUGAAAAUUCUGCAUCAGGGUAUAGUCUGUGUGACUAGCUUUGUCUUGAUGAAGGGUUUACUCCCUGCCCCAAAGGGCGAUUGGAAGCAAGGCUGGACCUGUGUGUGUGUGUGCAUGUGUGUAUGUGUGAAGUCCUAAAGGAACCUGGAUAAGUGCAAAUGGAGACUGCACAGGAGUUGAGGCCUCGUGCUGGGACACUCACCUUUGUUGGGUGUGCACUGAAGCUGCAACACCUUUGGGAUUUGGGGAUUGCAGAUGAGGUCACACUUUAUUUCCUCCUUUAACAGACUUCUAGUGACAUUCAGGGAAGGGGCAGAUGUCCCUCCUCCAGCUGGCAGGGCAACAGACAUUAGGAAGGAGGACCACAGUGGGAAGACAAUAAAUACCACGAUGACAGGGUUUUCU